UUAAAAUAAAAACCAUCUGACCAAUCAAGAGGAGAAAAAAAAACACAAUAAGCCAAAUAUGAGAAUAAAUCAGUCUUCUCCACACAAACAGAAUCAACAACGACAAAACUAAACACAUCCAGUUGUACACAAACUCAUUAGAAACCACGAUAGUCUCAUUUUGUAUGAAUCUCUUGAACUUCUCUUAAAGUAUGAAGGCAAUUGAAGAAUGGGUUUCUUCGAUAGCUCCCUUGAAUUUAUGUCGUAGUAUAAGCCCACAUACUUCCUAGAAUUGCCUCCACCUACGCUUUAUAUGCUCUCCUUAAAUGUUCUUCAAAAUCUUGAUGUUUGCUUAUUGGUUAUGAACCUGAUUUUUAUUCCAUGCCU
rnacentral:lncRNA from 1 species